ACCUGGGGCCAAUUAAGAUCCUUCUAGAAAGCAGUGGAGACAACUAGGUUGAUUGGGACACCUGAAGCCAAUCAAGGGCUGGCUGGAACUAGUUAAAAGCCUCCCAGUUAGUCAGUUAGAGGUGCAUGGCAGAAGCUAUAGGAGGAAGCUGUGCUGCUGGAGAAACUGGGCAGGACAAACCCCAUCAGGAACAAGGAAGGAUGCCCUGAGUGGAAUUAAGAGAGGCAGCGGAAGGCACAGCAGCAGAGCCAAAUUAAUGGAAAAACUCCAGGACAUUCCCAUGGUGGAGCAAUGACUGGUGACCAUGUUCCUCUGAAGUAACCCAAUGUCCAAGCGAUGUCGCCACAAGUUUUUCAGCUCAUGCCGGGGACCAAGCAGCUUUCCUGUCAAUGAGGUUGGAAUGAAUUCUGAAGCUCAGAGCUUGUGGGAAAGGUGACUUGAUCCAGCAUCCACCAAAACAAAUAAGGAAGAGGAACGAGUCCUGAGGAAAACCUGUCCUGCAGUUCAACUCCCAGCCCUCUGUUCUGCCGUUAAGCUUCUGGCCAGCUCGCUUUCCUUCAUUUCAGUGUCUGCCAGGGCCAUGCUGCAUGUAUCAUUGUACACUUCUGAAAAACAAACCACACACAUGUUGUCACUACAGUGAUAUCUCAAGGUCUUGUAAGCUACAAUAUGAAGGCACCCAUGGAAGCAGAAGUGACCUCAUCCUGCCAGAUGGGAUUCUCUUGGGCUCCCUCCAACAGUGCCACAAAAAGAAAUACCAGGGAUCUAACGUAAGAGGCAGAUUUCCAGCCCGGACACAACCACCUCAUCCUAGUGCCCUCGGACACACGAUGCGGUGUCAAGACGUCGUGUUAUUUUAUAUCCCAAGAGGAGUUCUGGCUCAGUCAUCCAGAAACCACCCACCCUCCCCCAGGAGGCUCUUGGGACGUAUAUGCUGGAGUGGCAAAUCUGCCACUCUGGGACAGGGUGUAAUGUGCCCCCUGCUUGGCCAACUCUGAGGGCGGGUGCGGAGGAGUGGGUGGGGCCAUUGCCACCCCCUUUCAGACAGGUGUGGAGUAUGUGUUUACUAAGAAGAAGCAGGGACACUACUCUUCACAAGGGCACUGGGCACCCUCUGAACAGGUGCAUGCUGGGGGAGAGGUGGAAGAACCCACGCAGGGGGCCAGCAGAUAUUUCCUUCAUGUUAAUAGAUCCAAGAGGUGCAGGUAGCUUAGAUGCAGAUUCAAAACUUUUUACAGCUUGUGGGUCAUUGCUCCUGCUGAACACAAAUUAGUCCCAUGGCAAAGACAAGACGCAAAGGCAGAUGCUCUCACAAUAUAUUUAUGCACGACCCAGCCACGUAUGCACACUCUAUAGCAAAAGUUGGUUUAAAACAAUGCAAACCCAGAACCAGGGUUUCUUUAUUUAUAUGUUACUGAAAAAAAUCCCCUUCCCCCCCAAAUAGGUGGCAAAUGGGGGGAGGAAGGAAAGGCGAAAGAACAGAAAGAUAAAGGAAUGGGAGGGAACACCAGAGCGAUAUCUCGAUUUCCAUCUGUUCGAGAUUAAUCAAAGAUUGCUAAAAAGUUAGACCAAAUCUUUUCACAUUUGUCUGAAGUCCCUCUUCUUCCAAAUGUUACUGGCUCUUUAGCUGCUAGGUCAGCCAAGGCGCUGUGCCAAGCUUCUAACCUGUUCUUCCAUCAUUCGAAGCAACAGAUGCCGUUUGGCUAGAAGCACUGCUCUGGAGAACCAAGGGUAGAGAGAUAUUUUACAAUGGGGAGUGGUCUGACGUAGAACAAUUCAGGAAGGUACAUCAGAGGCCUUGUUGACAUGGGAAAGUUUUACCAGUUAUUCCGACAUAGUUACACCAAUAUAACCCCCGGGUGGACACUCUUCUUCCAAUAUGAGAGUGGGUUUUUUGGUUUAGCUUAAACCCCUUCCUGAGCUAAAUAAACUAAACUAUUGAUUUAAAUUCACACAUUAGAUUAUAGCCACACACAAAAAAAACGUUCCUAGGCAGACGGAGCCUUGGUGAUCUCAUGCCAUUUUCAUUCACAGCCAAGAGUCAAGAUGUUCACUGUAAUACUUCCCAGCAAUUGUUCCUACAAUAACUCCAUCACCUUGUCCAUCCUUUUCUCUGCUAAUUAACAUUGCAAUGACAGGAUUUCAGAGAUUUCAGCACAUGUACAGUAGGUUUUCAUAUGCUGCAGAGAUGCUAUAAAAUAACUCAGGCCAGAUUCUGAUCUUACCAGAGUUAAUUAAAAUAGUUAUUCUGAAUCCAUUAAAUAAAAUCAGGAUCUGGUCCAUUAUUUCUACAUUCUGCAGUGACCUGGGCUUAUGGUUAUGUUUCUUUCCAAGGAAAUAAUGUUUCCUUUAAAAAAGAAUGGAGAGAGGAACUAAUGAGGACUUAGCUUAAGGUAAAGACUGUUUAACAUAGUCAUAAGUAUCCUCAGAUUUGCAUGAAGCACUGUGAACAUUUUAAUUCUGUUUACCUGUCUGUGAAGCAGAUCUGGGAACUGGUCUUGUGAUGGAACCGGCAUUACAUUUAGUCUGGGCUAAGAUGGUGUUCUCAAAAGCGUCUGUGAUGGGAAGUAGAAUUUUGUCACUUACUGAGAUUCUUCUUAAAAGUGAAAAACUGAACAUGGAUCCGCUACCAAAUGUAUUCCUUUACUGCCCCCCAAAAAAGCAAGCUUUAUCUCUUGAACGCAAACACUGCUGCAAUCACAUCGGCAUUCCAUUAAAACACAGAUGCAAUGUGAGAUGUGCAGAGAGCAAACAGAACAAACCAAUGAGAAAUGUGGAUGUCAUUUAUUGUCUGAAAAAUAAUUGUCAGGUGAAUGGUGCAGUAUUCCAUUCCUCCAAAGUUUCCUUAUUUUCCCCUUAACAUACUGUCCUUGAAGCAUUUGCAGUACUUCUAUAGCUCCUAGAGUUUGUUUUGGGUGGUUUUUAAUGACCAUUCAAAUGGCAGCUGUUAUAAAAUGGACGCAUAAAAACCAUAAAUUGGUCCUCCCAACUAGGAAUGAAUGAAAUAAUUCCUAAUCAAUGCAGUUUGGUUGGGGAGAGUUAGGGUUUUUCACAGCAAAAUCAAUCCCUUAAUGUUACUAAUUGCAUCCCACUUGGAGCUCUGGAAGCAGCGGCAUCCACUAGUAAAGAUGUGACAAUGGUCAUUGUUUCCUGUUCAGAGGGACUCAGUGUGCCGGGGUAUGCUACCCAGUAGGGGAUCAGGAUGAUCCUGCACUCGGGAGCUGGAGUCCCCAGGGAGAAGAAAACUGAACAACCCCUUUUUCAUCUGUGCCCUGAACCACAGCUCCCUGACUGUACCCAGGCCUGUUUCCUCCAUCCUCUGAAGUCCAACUUCCUCUGCUGGGGUUGAUAAGGCAGCUGGCCCCAAAUAUCGGACUGGUUCCAUCACUGACCAGCCACUCACCCCUUGCCUACGCAGAUUUCUGCAGAGCAGCACAGAUGAAGGAAGUGUUCUACAGUUCACCUCUCCCUGGAUAGCUCUGGCUCAUGAGUCCUCCCCGUCCCCUGACUCUAUGCCCUAGCUCUGUCACAGCCAGCCAUUAACCAUUAAAAGGGGACAUGGCGCCGUGUGAGCAUGUGCUGUUCCAAGUAAUGGUAGCGAAUCCCUCCCUGAAUUGAGAACUGUUUAGCAUCCUUUGUUCAAUUCAGAUCGGUCUCUCCCCAGUGGAAGAAUAUGCUGCCGGUAAUAGCCUUAAACUCUGCGUGAAGAAAAUGAAACACUGCACCUUUAAUGGAUAAAAAUGCCUGAGUCUAGCCUCGUCUCUAUGCAGCAUGCACAUACCACCUGCUACCAUUACAAGUGUGACGUCUGGGGAGAGUGGAAAGGGACAGGAAUGGCCACACUAGAGCUUACAGGUCAAAUGCAGCAUAGGGAUUAUCUAAUGCUGCCAGUGCCCCUCUCCUCUUUAAUGUGACGGUGCAGCUCAGUGAGACGUUAUAUUAAAACUAAGGCAGAAUGUCACUGACCCCACUUAAUGCCAAUUAAGUGCCAUUCCCUUGAUACAGUGUCAGCAGGGUUCCCAUCUGGGCAGACCUGCAGUUAAUUUCUCCUACUUUGGGUCGAGAGAUGAAGAAGGACCCAAAUGGGAUCCAGAUUCUGCUUUGGAAUAACUCUCUGUCCCCACCAAGUCAGAGGGCACUGACCCUUACACAGAAAGAAAGAAGCCACAAAAUCCAGAUUUGGCCCUGGGUCCAGAUUCUGGAACUUCACCACCUUCCCAAAGGGAGUUUGGACCAGGGGCUUUGAUUCAGGCCCAUCCGUAAACGAGACUCUUUAAACAUAGCUCAAGUAAUGAGGUGACAAGCAUAAACUGAGACACCAAACUCCUACAUCCUUGUGGAUGUUAAUGUAAUCUACCAGCGGUGAUGAAGAGAGAUGGAUGGUGUCAAUGAACUAUGGAGAAGAAUUCCAUGCAUGAUGCCAAUACUUGUACCUUCAAACCCCAGGGGAGUUGGAUCACUCUUUAUUUCAUGUCUCUUGACUUUAACUGCAGAACCCAAGGGACCUGUGUGAAGUUUGCAGAUGCAUAAGAUUAUAAAUAUAGUUAGAGGCACAACUUGUUUUCCCAUUAUCUGUUUGCAAGAACCAUGAUCUGGAAUUGCUGGAACUGACCAGUGUAAAGAGCUUAGGAUAAUGCAUUUACUAAACAAAAUCCAAAAAAUCAAAGCAACCCGCUAAGCAAUUCUGUAAAAGGGGAAGAAAAACACUUUUGUGAUAUGCACCAAGAAACAACCCCCCACUUGCAGCUUUGAUCAUUUACAGUUUAAGUACAAUUGAGAAAAGGUAACUGGCUCCAACUUAAUGGACUUUCAUCUCCUGUUUGUUUGGUGGCACUCGGCCAUUCAAAUGUCUCAGGGAAGAC